UGGUCAUAUACCAAGGCUGCUGGGAUGUGUGGUUCCUGGUCUGCUGUGGACAUGACCAGAAAGUAAAUUGCCAGCUGGGUCAUUCUGAUGCAAUAUUGGUUUGAUCCACUGGGAACACUC
rnacentral:snoRNA from 1 species